rnacentral:rRNA from 1 species
GGUGAACGCUGGCGGUAUGCCUAACACAUGCAAGUCGAACGGCAGCACAGUAAGUGCUUGCUCUUACGGGUGGCGAGUGGCGGACGGGUGAGGAAUAUAUCGUAAUCUACUUUUUCGUGGGGGAUAACGUAGGGAAACUUACGCUAAUACAGCAUACGACCUACGGGUGAAAGCAGGGGAUCUUCUGACCUUGCGCGAUUGAAUGAGCCGAUGUCGGAUUAGCUAGUUGGCGGGGUACAGACCCACCAAGGCGACGAUCCGUAGCUGGUCUGAGAGGAUGAUCAGCCACACUGGAACUGAGACACGGUCCAGACUCCUACGGGAGGGAGCAGUGGGGAAUAUUGGACAAUGGGGGCAAGCCUGAUCCAGCCAUACGGCGUGGGUGAAGAAGGCCUUCGGGGUGUAAAGCCCUUUUGUUGGGAAAGAAAAGCAGCAGGUUAAUACCCCGCUGUUCUGACGGUACCCAAAGAAUAAGCACCGGCUAACUUCGUG